rnacentral:rRNA from 1 species
GUGGAUUAGAUACCCUGGUAGUCCACGCCGUAAACGAUGGAUACUAGCUGUUGGGCGCAAGUUCAGUGGCUAAGCGAAAGUGAUAAGUAUCCCACCUGGGGAGUACGUUCGCAAGAAUGAAACUCAAAGGAAUUGACGGGGGCCCGCACAAGCGGUGGAGCAUGUGGUUUAAUUCGAUGAUACGCGAGGAACCUUACCAAGGCUUAAAUGUAGUUUGACAGAUUUGGAAACAGAUUUUUCUUCGGACAAAUUACAAGGUGCUGCACGGUCGUCGUCAGCU